rnacentral:rRNA from 1 species
CCUCCUACGGGGGGCAGCAGUGGGGAAUAUUGCACAAUGGGGGAAACCCUGAUGCAGCGACGCCGCGUGAGUGAAGAAGUAUUUCGGUAUGUAAAGCUCUAUCAGCAGGGAAGAGAAUGACGGUACCUGAGUAAGAAGCCCCGGCUAACUACGAGCCAGCAGCCGCGGUAAUACGUAGGGGGCAAGCGUUAUCCGGAUUUACUGGGUGUAAAGGGAGCGUAGACGGCGAAGAAAGUCUGAAGUGAAAGCCCGCGGC